rnacentral:lncRNA from 1 species
UGUCGUGAUAUAUUUAUAUACUCCAUUGUGAUUGUUUCUAACUUGGAGUGACCGUGUGGCCUCUGCUUUUGAAUCAGAUCUUUGCAAAAGGCCAGACACCUGGAAGGAGACGCUGGACACCAGAGAGAGUCAUUCAUUCACUCUGCAGACAUCAGCGGAGCACCCUCGGAGGUACUGGGCUCGUGGACCCUGGAGCCCAGCAGAGACCAAGGCUGAUAUGACCUGGCCCUCACAGAGCUGUCCAUCUAUAAGGGAGGUGGGUGAGGACGCAGAUACCUAGAACCGGAGACUUGGAGCUUAGUCAAGGGUGGAGAGGAGCCAGCAGACGGGGGGCUUGGAGGGAAUCAAGCAGGGUGGGGGUGGAGGGAGUGUGGUCAAGGAAGAGGAUCAGUCUGCAAAGGACACAUUUGUAAAACCCAGACCUGCCUAUGCCUGAGGUCUAGAGAAUGGGGUGGGGUGUGGGGUGAGGUCAGGCUGCCUUGGUCGGCAGGGGCUGGGUCCCCAAGGGCUGAAAGAGGCAUUUUAGGGAGCCAGGGCUUAUCAUGAGGACAGAGGGCCUCCAUCUAGAUGGAUGAGCAGCCUGAACUGCCUUUUGGAAGCCCCUCUUGGUCGCGGUGCAGGGUGGGUGGAAGAAGGCAUGCCUAGAGGCAGAUAGCCAGGCAGGACAUGCUUGGCCAGAGAAGCAGUGGUGGAUUUGAGCCUCUUUCCCUCAAUCCUGUCCCCUGACACAGACCUCACAGUGCAGCCUCCCAGGCAACUGAUUUGCCAGAGGCCAGGAACAGUGUCCUUCACAGGACACAUGUACCUGGGGAGUCCCACAUGCUUCCUCUAGUCCCCCAUGCUGUUCAGUCUGGAAGCCUCCAAAUUAAACACCCACCUGACCUUCCUGUGUUUCUGGAGCCCUCUCUUCCCAUCCAGAGUUCUGAUCCCGUAUGGCUGUCCCCCCACCUCCACCCUCACCCCCUGGAGUACCGCCUGGCUUGGUGACUCCGAGGAAACUUGGGCAAGCCUCCUGCCUUCUGUGCCCUGUACCCACUUAGGAGACAUCUGACUCCACGUUCAUGUCACCUGGACUCCCGGGAAUACAUCACAUUCUCUGUGGAACCGUCUUCCUGUACCUCAUGCCAGUGGCCUCUGUGGGACAGGCCUUCGAGUCUCUGCAGUUUGGCAAGUGCCUCCAGCUGAGGGGUAAGGGCUCAGCUCCUUUCUCAAAGCCCCCCUAGUCUCCAGGAUCUGUUCUCUUAGGGACCCCAUUUGGGGGGUUCUCUCCAAAUUGAGUGUUUUUUUCUCCUACAAAUGACCCAUAUUUGUUUCUAUUGCUGUUAUAAUAAAUUACAACGACUUAGUAGCUUAGAACAACAUGCAUUUGUUCUCUCACAGUUUCUGUGGGGUAGGAGCCUGACACGGGUCUCACUGUGCUAACAUCAGGUGUCAGCAGGGCCCCUUCCCUUUCUGGAUCUUGAAGGGAGAGUCCACAUCCUUGGCUCUUCCAGCUUCUAGA